AAAUUGAAGAGUUUGAUCAUGGCUCAGAUUGAACGCUGGCGGCAGGCCUAACACAUGCAAGUCGAACGGUAACAGGAAGCAGCUUGCUGCUUUGCUGACGAGUGGCGGACGGGUGAGUAAUGUCUGGGAAACUGCCUGAUGGAGGGGGAUAACUACUGGAAACGGUAGCUAAUACCGCAUAACGUCGCAAGACCAAAGAGGGGGACCUUCGGGCCUCUUGCCAUCGGAUGUGCCCAGAUGGGAUUAGCUAGUAGGUGGGGUAAAGGCUCACCUAGGCGACGAUCCCUAGCUGGUCUGAGAGGAUGACCAGCCACACUGGAACUGAGACACGGUCCAGACUCCUAC
rnacentral:rRNA from 1 species